GGAGGAAUAUUGGACAAUGGGCGCAAGCCUGAUCCAGCCAUGCCGCGUGCAGGAUGACGGUCCUAUGGAUUGUAAACUGCUUUUGUACAGGAAGAAACACCCCGACGUGUCGGGGCUUGACGGUACUGUAAGAAUAAGGAUCGGCUAACUCCGUGCCAGCAGCCGCGGUAAUACGGAGGAUCCAAGCGUUAUCCGGAAUCAUUGGGUUUAAAGGGUCCGUAGGCGGUCUUAUAAGUCAGUGGUGAAAUCU
rnacentral:rRNA from 1 species